UGGCAAUGAUGGCGAAGAGGUCACACCCGUACCCAUUCCGAACACGGAAGUUAAGUUCUUCAGCGCCGAUGGUAGUUGGGGGUUUCCCCCUGUGAGAGUAGGACGUUGCCA
rnacentral:rRNA from 2 species